AGUGAACGCUGGCGGUAGGCCUAACACAUGCAAGUCGAACGGCAGCACAGUAAGAGCUUGCUCUUACGGGUGGCGAGUGGCGGACGGGUGAGGAAUACAUCGGAAUCUACUUUUUCGUGGGGGAUAACGUAGGGAAACUUACGCUAAUACCGCAUACGACCUACGGGUGAAAGCAGGGGAUCUUCGGACCUUGCGCGAUUGAAUGAGCCGAUGUCGGAUUAGCUAGUUGGCGGGGUAAAGGCCCACCAAGGCGACGAUCCGUAGCUGGUCUGAGAGGAUGAUCAGCCACACUGGAACUGAGACACGGUCCAGACUCCUACGGGAGGCAGCAGUGGGGAAUAUUGGACAAUGGGCGCAAGCCUGAUCCAGCCAUACCGCGUGAGUGAAGAAGGCCUCCGGGUUGUAAAGCCCUUUUGUUGGGAAAGAAAAGCAGCAGGUUAAUACCCCGCUGUUCUGACGGUACCCAAAGAAUAAGCACCGGCUAACUUCGUG
rnacentral:rRNA from 1 species